CCAGAGAACUUAGCAGAGAUGCUUUGGUGCCUUCGGGAACUCUGAGACAGGCGCUGCAUGGCUGUCGUCAGCUCGUGUUGUGAAAUGUUGGGUUAAGUCCCGCAACGAGCGCAACCCUUAUCCUUUGUUGCCAGCGGCUCGGCCGGGAACUCAAAGGAGACUGCCGGUGAUAAACCGGAGGAAGGUGGGGAUGACGUCAAGUCAUCAUGGCCCUUACGGCCAGGGCUACACACGUGCUACAAUGGCGCAUACAAAGAGAAGCGACCUCGCGAGAGCAAGCGGACCUCAUAAAGUGCGUCGUAGUCCGGAUUGGAGUCUGCAACUCGACUCCAUGAAGUCGGAAUCGCUAGUAAUCGUAGAUCAGAAUGCUACGGUGAAUACGUUCCCGGGCCUUGUACACACCGCCCGUCACACCAUGGGAGUGGGUUGCAAAAGAAGUAGGUAGCUUAACCUUCGGGAGGGCGCUUACCACUUUGUGAUUCAUGACUGGGGUGAAGUCGUAACAAGGUAAGCGUAGCGAG
rnacentral:rRNA from 1 species